rnacentral:rRNA from 1 species
GACGAAGGGGGCGAGCGUUGUUCGGAAUCACUGGGCAUAAAGCGCACGUAGGCGGCGACGUAAGUUGGGUGUGAAAUCCCUCGGCCCAACCGAGGAACUGCGCCCAGUACUGCGUUGCUUGAGGAUCCAAGGGGUGCAUGGAAUUCCCGGUGGAGCGGUGAAAUGCGUUGAUAUCGGGAGGAACUCCGGCGGCGAAAGCGGUGCACUGGUGGAUUACUGACGCUGAGGUGCGAAAGCCAGGGGAGCAAACGGG